rnacentral:lncRNA from 1 species
CCUUCCUCCCUCCCUCACACCAAGUAACUCGGAAGGCAUGUGGUUUCAGAGCUGAAGGAAUUAACAAGUGCGCUGACCACUCCUGAGAUGCAGACAGAGAUUCAGGAGUUGAAGGAGGAGUGUGCUCGCUACACAGAGAGACUGAAAAACAUCAAAGCAGCUACCAACCAUGUCACUCCAGAAGAGAAGGAGAAGGUGUACAGGGAGAGACAGAAGUACUGUAAAGAGUGGAGGAAGCGGAAGAGAAUGGUGAGUGGGAAUCCCAAGGGUGCUCUCGGAAGCACUGCGGGAAGCGACGGUCACUGGGGAGGUUUGUGUAAAAUGGCCUGGCUGGCAGGCAGUUCCUAGUACUGCCACCGCUCAUCUCAUAGGGGGCUUUGCUUCUUGUCAGACCACAGAGCUGUGCGAUGCGAUCCUUGAAGGUUACCCCAAGAGCAAGAAGCAGUUCUUUGUAAGUGACUUUCCUCUCUUGCUCCCCUGGGAUCUUUGCCCAGGGGACUCUUCACUGCUUUCCUUUCACAGGAAGAAGUUGGGAUAGAGACAGAUGAAGAUCAUAAUGUUACGCUCCCAGACCCCUGAGGGGCCCUUGAUGGAGGUGGGAACAGACCGUCCUGCUUUGGCCACCUUACUGAGGUGGCCUUUUUAUUCUUGCUGUUCUCCACCUUUGAGCAGUGGACAGAGGAGCACAGAGGCAUAGUGUUAGGUAGAGGCUGCUGGUUAGAAAGGGAUGGUCACAAUCAUUUUGUACAGGCCUCAACAAGGACUUGUAACAAUCCU